GAACAGCUGACGAGGGAGGGCACUUGGCUGGCAGACGGGGCAGCCGGUAAUCGCGAGUUCGACAUAUCUAACCUAGACAAAUAACACGGACAGUUCAAUAUAAUUAUAUCUAUGGAUUUAAAUACACGUAUUCUGCCACAGCGGAGCCACAGCCGCGCUCGUUGUCUCGCGUGAGUUUAUGUUAUCACGAGAGUUCGCCAGUGGAGCCCGUGGCUGCGUCUGUUAGCCACAGGUCGUAUGGACCGUCCGGAUUUUAUAUUUUACACUGCUAACUACACACCUAUGCUUACAUCCACAUUGACUCAACCAAGUGGAAACGCUUUGGACGGUUGGUGCUCAAAUACUUUCAGAUGCCCCGUGCAAAGUCAUGCCACAAGUCUGAGGACAUCAAUGGGAAUGCCACAUGGCUUUCAACUCCAGCGAGCACACGGCACAGGUUGGCGUCACCGUGGGCAAUCAUGGCAAAGACCCAAGUCGACUCGACCACAGCGGAAAAUGAUCCUUCCAGAGAAGAAGUUAUUUACUUCUACAAUGAAUGGAAGAGUUACAACUUCCAGAUGACAGCUCUCCGUUCAUCCUUCUGGGCAACUUGAACAUCCAACAGAACUUAUGUGACCUACUGCGUUUAUUUUCUUCUUUAGCUCUCAUUUCAGUAUUAAUAUUCCCUGUAUUUUUGCAGGAGAGGCACCGAUCCUAUUUGAAUGACGUUUCGAAUUGAAAUUGUAUUAGAGCAGAUAGCUCAUCUGCAGAGCGUUGGCCCCUGGCGCAGGAGCCGAGGGUUUGACAAUACUUUUUUUUUUAACUUCUAUUUAGGUUUUGUACUUUGUACAUGGCCCCAACUUAUUUAAUAGGGUUAGGGUUAGUCCUGGUGUGACUUAAAAUGUGUUUAAUAAAUCCAGGAUGUAAUAUUUGUUCAGUAUGCAGGGGCAGUGAUUUAAUUUGUCAUGUUUUACAUAUUUUUCAGGUUUUACAGGGAAAACUGUUACUUAAAAAAAUCAUGUCAAGUCCAUGUAUUAUUAUGAUUAAUCAUGGCAUAAUGUUUCCUGCUGCACCACUGUUAAGAUUGUAACUUUGAAGUAUGUUAUACUACAUACUUUAUUCACUCUAAGUGAGACUUACAGUGAAUAGUUUGAGGAUAGGUGCCAUGGUCAGGGCCACCUGGGGGUUGAACCAUGAACCUCUCUACCCACUGCGCCUUUACUUAAGUCAAAUGUAACAGAAUCAUUGGCAUUGGCUUUUACUCACUGUGACAUCACAUAUUGGGUGUGCCUGAAAGUUUCAACAUCGGGAGCAAUGCAGCCUUUUUUGCAUCGUGUUUAUUGUAAUUAAAAGAUAGCUAAAUAUCUAAGAAGUCCGGGUUGGUCCGCUCCGCCCACCGUAUCUGGUCGGCGAGUGUCUGCUGUGCCUCCUGCAGCAUGUAACACCGACCAGGUUGAAUGAAGCAAACUUACGGGAGGGGGCUGAUUUUGGAGUAGAAGUAGAUUCCUUCACCUCAUCUUGCCAGAGAGCUCCGUGUCGCGGUCCGUUCUGAGCAACUUGAAGCCCGCCAGCUGGAGUGUGGAGUCCGGUAUCGGCAUCUGCUUUUAUUUCCUCUGAAAGCUUUUGUCGUCUUUUUACAUAAGAAUAAGUUCACAUUGCUGUCUACAACGUCUGUUUCCUUCUCCGACAGCCAGAUUGGUUGCCCGUAACUUAGAUGCUAAAUCAUAUGCAGUCCUACGUGUAUUUUCCAUGACGAGUGUUUGAAUAUAAUGCGCAAAAUUAUCUCGUUUUAUGCGCGUUAGCCCAUUUGUUUGCACUGUUGUUUAAGCCACAGGGUUCAAAGUAAGGUGUAUAUAUAUUUAAGGUAUAUAAUUUUUAAAUAAUGAAAAAACUACUACUAUAAAGUAAAGUAUUUUAUAUUUAUCUUAAUAUUUAUUUUCAGUUUCACCUGUACGUCCACCUGUUAAAUAUAGUUUGUGUUCAUAUUUAGAUUUUUUACAAGACGUUUAUAUGUCAAUGUUGUGUUUUCAGGCUUGUUCUGUUGCACCAAGUGGCCACUUAAGUUCAUACAGAGUCAACCAAGUUGUUUUUAAUAUUGUAUUCAGGAGGUCAAACUUAUGUUACAGAGGGAGUUACAAACAACCCUAUUGUGUUGUGUGGUUGCUGAAGGAUUUAAAAAACUCAUUUGGACAGGCUGGCAUAAUAACUUACACUGUGUUCCCUGUGAUGGGCCACCUUUUCAAGGGGGUGAGCAUGUCUCAGCUGGAGGCCUUUGCUUGUGAAAAACCGCCAGUCUUUCAGUCCAGGCUAAAAUUACACUGAGGGAGAAAAAACAAAGUCUCAAACAACAGUGGUGUGCCGACUCAAUACUUUAUGACUCGUAGAAAGAGCAGCAGCAGGUUCCCACCGCCAUAGAAACAAGUGUGAAAAAUUAAAUUGCUCCGGCCUUUCCCACUCAGUGUGGAGGAUUAGGGACCGAGAGAUACACCCGGCAACCCGCUGGUUAUGCUCGGCUCUCAUAUACCCCAAAGUACAGAAGCCUUUCAAAAAGGGUCCAUUUUUAAUGCCUGACUUAUGCCCAUGGUGCCAUUUUAGUGACAUCUGCACAGCAACCAGCGAUUUUCUGUACACUGCCUUCUCAUCCUUCUCCCCUUUUGUUGUUUUUUCUUUCUUUCUCCGUCUUAGUUUUUAAAUCUAAUCGGAAUGACAUGUCACCUUCAUCCUCCCUCCUUUGUGCUCCUUUAUUCCCUGUCGUCGUCUACAGGGAGCAAAGUGAGGUCGACCCGCAUGUUCGUGUUGGUGUGGUGCCUCUCUACCCCACUGUGGUAUUGAUGUAGCAUUAUGGCGCCUGGGACUCAAGAGGCUCAGAGAGGCAGAAAGAGGAGUGAGAGGCUAAAGAGAUUUAUUUAAGUUGGUGAGGUUUUUCCAGAGUGAAUGGUCCCUUCCUGAGCCUUUUUUCUGCUUUCUACCUAAUUUGACUGGAUAAGUGUGAAACAAUAUUAAAUAAAAGGUACGCAGUGCGAGUGUGUUUGUUUGUGUUUGGAUAUUCCAGACAACAGCAUCCCUACUGGUCACUUCAAAGAUGAUCAAAGAUGGAUCUUUUUUUCUGAUUGAAAACACACAAAGUUGACAUUCAUAUGAUGCUCAUACUAUUGGGUUAAAGUGAUGUGUCCCAGUUCCACUCAGAUAAUCCUGGUGUUUAUUUGCAGACUGAUUGACAAGUUCAAGACUGUACAGGGCCCAUGAGGCCUCCCAGACACUUUGAAAGCUCUGCGUCACAGAGACAUUUGUCGGAAGAGUGAGACACUUUCUAUUUGGCUCAUUGAGUUUCUGUUUUUUUUAUUUUCUAUUAUUCAAGUAAUUUGUGUUCCCUGUACAAAUGCUUUUUUUCUAGGAUUUCCAAUCAUCAGAAAACAGAAAGUGGCUCUGCAGAGUAUGUGUAAAAGGCAAACAAAAUGAAGGUCACCGAGCAGAGCAUGUGUAAAUAGAAAAGUGAGCUGCUCUUUGCAACAUGUACACAAAUAUCAUAUGCCUGGGUUCAAAGUACUAACAAAAUGAAAUCAUCCCAUUUUAUUGUGUUUUGAACCAUUUAAAAGGAUGCAAAAGAAAAGUUUUAUGGUAUUAAGUAUUAAUGCUGCGUCUGUUGUAAUGCUGUCUCGCUUGCUGGACUCAAAUAAAUAAAAUAAAAGACACAGAUGGAAAAAUACACAAAACAUUAGCAGGAUGUUGUGUUGCUUGUGUGCUAGAAAUGGAAAACACAUGUAAUCUCAGAGCAUGUUGUGUUCCUCUAAUUGCUGCACACAGUGGUCAGCUCCUGUGAAGUAAAUAACCCGUAAAUA